GUCAAGUAAGAAUACCCGCUGAACUUAAGCAUAUCAAUAAGCGGAGGAAAAGAAGCUAACUAGGAUUCCCUUAGUAACGGCGAGUGAACUGGGAAAAGCUCAAAUUUUAAAUCACCCCGGUGAAUUGUAAUUUGAAGAAAGUGAUUUGACUUUUCAGUUUAAUCUAAAUCCUUUGGGAUGAGGUAUCAUAGAGGGUGAGAAUCCCGUUCUUGAUUAAACCUCGGAUUGCACUAAUUCACUUUCUAAGAGUCGAGUUGUUUGGGAUUGCAGCUCCAAAUGGGUGGUAAAUUUCACCUAAGGCUAAAUAUAUGCAAGAGACCGAUAGCGAACAAGUACCGUGAGGGAAAGAUGAAAAGAACUUUGAAAAGAGAGUUAAAUAGUACGUGAAAUUGUUGAAAGGGAAACGAUUGAAGUCAGUCAUGCUAAUGAGGAAUCAACUUGGUGGUUUACUUCCUUGUGCAUUUUCUCGCUUGGCAGGUUAGCAUCAAUUUUGGUUGUCAUCAAAGAAUUAGGGGAAUGUGGCUUUUCUUCGGUAAAGUGUUAUAGACUCUGAUUGAUGUGGCGACUGGGAUUGAGGUUUGCAGCGAAUGCCUUUUUGGGCUAGUCACCUGUCUUCUGACCGUCACCUCGCUUUUGACAGCUUGCUGAUGAUCGCGGGAUUUGGCGACCUAGGAGUUAGAGUGAACAUAAAUUCGCUAAGGAAGCUGACGUAAUGGCUUUAAACGACCCGUCUUGAAACACGGACCAAGGAGUCUAACAUAUGUGCGAGUGUU
rnacentral:rRNA from 1 species